AACGAACGCUGGCGGCGCGCCUAAUACAUGCAAGUCGAGCGAGAAGACGUAGCAAUACGUUUGUAAAGCGGCGAACGGGUGAGGAAUACAUGGGUAACCUACCCUCGAGUGGGGAAUAACUAGCCGAAAGGUUAGCUAAUACCGCGUACGCUCCUUGGACUUCGGUUCAGGGAGGAAAGCGAUACCGUGGGUAUCGCGCUCUUGGAUGGGCUCAUGUCCUAUCAGCUUGUUGGGAGGUAACGGCUCACCAAGGCUUCGACGGGUAGCUGGUCUGAGAGGACGAUCAGCCACACUGGCACUGCGACACGGGCCAGACUCCUACGGGAGGCAGCAGUAAGGAAUAUUGCGCAAUGGGCGAAAGCCUGACGCAGCGACGCCGCGUGGGGGAUGAAGGUCUUCGGAUUGUAAACCCCUUUCGGGAGGGAAGAUGGAAUGGGGUAACCCAUUCGGACGGUACCUCCAGAAGCAGCCACGGCUAACUUCGUGCCAGCCGCCG
rnacentral:rRNA from 1 species